GAACGCUGGCGGCGUGCUUAACACAUGCAAGUCGAACGGAAAGGCCCUUCGGGGUACUCGAGUGGCGAACGGGUGAGUAACACGUGGGUGAUCUGCCCUGCACUUUGGGAUAAGCCUGGGAAACUGGGUCUAAUACCGAAUAUGACCGCGCACUUCCUGGUGUGUGGUGGAAAGCUUUUGCGGUGUGGGAUGGGCCCGCGGCCUAUCAGCUUGUUGGUGGGGUAAUGGCCUACCAAGGCGACGACGGGUAGCCGGCCUGAGAGGGUGACCGGCCACACUGGGACUGAGAUACGGCCCAGACUCCUACGGGAGGCAGCAGUGGGGAAUAUUGCACAAUGGGCGCAAGCCUGAUGCAGCGACGCCGCGUGAGGGAUGACGGCCUUCGGGUUGUAAACCUCUUUCAAUAGGGACGAAGCGCAAGUGACGGUACCUAUAGAAGAAGGACCGGCCAACUACGUGCCAGCAGCCGCGGUAAUACGUAGGGUCCGAGCGUUGUCCGGAAUUACUGGGCGUAAAGAGCUCGUAGGUGGUUUGUCGCGUUGUUCGUGAAAACUCACAGCUUAACUGUGGGCGUGCGGGCGAUACGGGCAGACUAGAGUACUGCAGGGGAGACUGGAAUUCCUGGUGUAGCGGUGGAAUGCGCAGAUAUCAGGAGGAACACCGGUGGCGAAGGCGGGUCUCUGGGCAGUAACUGACGCUGAGGAGCGAAAGCGUGGGGAGCGAACAGGAUUAGAUACCCUGGUAGUCCACGCCGUAAA
rnacentral:rRNA from 1 species